AAAUGGUUUGAAUUUGAAGAAAUCAAAGGGAUUUUUCUGAAUUUUUUAAUAAUUUUCUAUUAAAAAUCGGUUUUAAACCAUUUUUUGACCCUAAUGUUAAGUCACAAAUGUAUUGAAACCGGUUUUUAAUAGAAAAUAUUUAGAAAAUAA
ensembl:ncRNA Y65B4BL.10 ncRNA